UACGGAGGGUGCGAGCGUUGUCCGGAAUCACUGGGCGUAAAGGGCGCGUAGGCGGCCUGAUAAGUAGGGGGUGAAAUCCUGCGGCUUAACCGCAGGGCUGCCUUCUAAACUGUCAGGCUGGAGCACAGUAGAGGCAGGUGGAAUUCCCGGUGUAGCGGUGGAAUGCGUAGAGAUCGGGAAGAACAUCAGUGGCGAAGGCGGGUCUCUGGGGCCGAUACUGACGCUGAGGAGCGAAAGCGUGGGGAGCGAACAGG
rnacentral:rRNA from 1 species